CAUGGCGGCGUGCUUACCAUGCAAGUCGAACGGAGAUUCAGCAAUGGAUCUUAGUGGCGAACGGGUGAGUAACGCGUAGGCAAUCUGCCUUCUAGAUGGGGACAACAUCCCGAAAGGGGUGCUAAUACCGAAUGUUGUACCGUUUCCGCAUGGAGAUGAUACUAAAGGUGGCCUCUGAAUAUGCUACCGCUAGAAGAUGAGCCUGCGUCUGAUUAGCUAGUUGGAGGGGUAACGGCCCACCAAGGCUUCGAUCAGUAGCCGGUCUGAGAGGAUGAACGGCCACACUGGGACUGAGACACGGCCCAGACUCCUACGGGAGGCAGCAGUGGGGAAUCUUCCGCAAUGGACGAAAGUCUGACGGAGCAACGCCGCGUGAGUGAAGAAGGUUUUCGGAUCGUAAAGCUCUUUCGUUAGGGACGAACGUGCUCUUUGUGAAUAAUGAGGAGUAAUGACGGUACCUAAAUAAGAAGCCACGGCUAACUACGUGCCAGCAGCCGCGGUAAUACGUAGGUGGCAAGCGUUGUCCGGAAUUAUUGGGCGUAAAGCGCGCGCAGGCGGGAUAUCAAGUCUGUCUUAAAAGUGCGAGGCUCAACCUCGUGAGGGGACGGAAACUGGUAUUCUUGAGUGUCGGAGAGGAAAGUGGAAUUCCAAGUGUAGCGGUGAAAUGCGUAGAGAUUUGGAAGAACACCAGUGGCGAAGGCGACUUUCUGGACGAUGUCUGACGCUGAGGCGCGAAAGCUAGGGGAGCGAACGGGAUUAGAUACCCCGGUAGUCCUAGCCGUAAACGAUGGGUACUAGUGUAGGGGUAUCGACCCCUCUG
rnacentral:rRNA from 1 species